GUGCAGCCGCCGCGGUAAUACGGAGGGUGCGAGCGUUAAUCGGAAUUACUGGGCGUAAAGGGCGCGUAGGCGGUCGCGCAAGUCGGGUGUGAAAGCCCCGGGCUCAACCUGGGAAUUGCAUUCGAUACUGCGUAACUAGAGUCUGGUAGAGGGAAGCGGAAUUCCGCAUGUAGCGGUGAAAUGCGUAGAUAUGCGGAGGAACACCAGUGGCGAAGGCGGCUUCCUGGACCAAGACUGACGCUGAGGCGCGAAAGCGUGGGGGGCAAACAGGAUUAGAUACCCUGGUAGUCCACGCCCUAAACGAUGAGGACUAGACGUUGGGGGAUAAAGCCCUUUAGUGUCGCAGCUAACGCGUGAAGUCCUCCGCCUGGGGAGUACGGCCGCAAGGUUGAAACUCAAAGGAAUUGGCGG
rnacentral:rRNA from 1 species